rnacentral:sRNA from 1 species
ACUAUUUGCUGCCUUAGUAAGUGAGAAGCCUGCUUUCCCGUCUUGCAUCCGGGCCUCCUACUGUGGAAGGUGCAUGUUAGUUUGGGGGGCAGCAGGGGGUGCUGUUGCCUAGCCGCUAUUUAGAAAAUCUGAAAAUGGCCAGUGGCUUGCCUCGGAAUGUUUCCUCAUUCUCCAUCAUGAGUACAGUCCUUCUGGUGGGUGACCUAGACAGCAGAAGACCUUUUAGUGCAGAUUCAUCAGUCAGAAACUCUUUUAAAAAAUUGGAGUGAAGAUAGGGAGUGUGAAAUUCAAGAAUGACUGUUUCUCAAAGUGAAGUCACGUUUUUAGUGCCUUUUUACAUGGAUCUCAAAUCUCUGCAAGACUGAAAACUUUGAGAAUAAAAAUUGAAGGUGCCGGGCAGCCUACAACAUUGUGACAUGGUUUUCAAGCUUCUGGAUCACUCACCAUUUCUUUAUUGAGAGUGUCCCCUGGCAACUGCUUAACAAAAUCCCAAGCUCAGGGGCUUCUCAGGAUUUACCUAAUUUCUGAAAGGCUCUUCUGAAAGGUGGUAUCUGUUCUUUCGUAGCACAGUAUUUGUGUUUUUCCUGUUCAUUGUUUUGGUUUUUUUUUUUUUUGCAUUUGCACAGUAUACACAAAAGAAUAUGGGGUUGUAAUGAUCCUAAUAGCUCAAAAAAGGUUUUAGCAUGGUCAAACAGGCUUAUGGUUUAAAAUGUGUUAUUCUCUUCUUUGGGAAUUAGCUAAAUGAUGCAAUAAACGUGUUUUGUUUUAGAAUUUCUAGGAAUUAAACACUUUAUGUUUACAGAAUUGAGCUGCAGAAAGUGCAAGACAUGCCAAUUUGAGACACACGGUCUUCUAAGACUGAAGGAUAAAUUUAAUGCAUUUCAGAAACUAAACAUCACAGCAAGCUCUAUCUCUGAGCUAUAAUUUGUUUUUAAUGCAAAGACACUAGUUUGAUAAUAUAUACUGUAAUCCUGAAACAUUUGUGUUACUUACCUUUGGAGGUAGAAAUUAUACCAAUAAAUUAUUGCACUGUUAGUAUUAGAUUCUGUGUACCUUGGAAGUUAUGUCAUUAAUAUAGGCUGGUUCAUCAAAUAAAGCAAAACCUUGCAAUAUCAGCUAGAU